rnacentral:rRNA from 1 species
UACGUAGGGUGCAAGCGUUACUCGGAAUUACUGGGCGUAAAGGGCGCGCAGGCGGCCUCUUGGCGUCAGAUGUGAAAGCCCCGGGCUCAACCUGGGAAUGGCAUUUGAUACUCGAGGGCUUGAGUACGGGAGAGGAGAGUGGAAUUCCCAGUGUAGAGGUGAAAUUCGUAGAUAUUGGGAAGAACACCGGUGGCGAAGGCGGCUCUCUGGACCGUAACUGACGCUGAGGCGCGAAAGCGUGGGGAGCAAACAGG